AUUGAACGCUGGCGGCAGGCCUAACACAUGCAAGUCGAACGAGUGGCGGACGGGUGAGUAAUGUCUGGGAAACUGCCCGAUGGAGGGGGAUAACUACUGGAAACGGUAGCUAAUACCGCAUACCAUCGGAUGUGCCCAGAUGGGAUUAGCUAGUAGGUGGGGUAACGGCUCACCUAGGCGACGAUCCCUAGCUGUUCUGAGAGGAUGACCGGCAACACGGGAACGGGGACACGGUCAAGACUCCUACGGGAGGCAGAAGAGGGGAAGAUUGCACAAUGGGCGAAAGCCGGAUGAAGCAAGGCCGCGUGUAUGAAGAAGGCCUUCGGGUGGUAAAGUACUUUCAGCGAGGAGGCGUUACUCGCAGAAGAAGCACCGGCUAACUCCGUGCCAGCAGCCGCGGUAAUUC
rnacentral:rRNA from 1 species